rnacentral:lncRNA from 1 species
CCAGUCUUAUCGGUAUCAUCGAUCUCCAACUCGAUGAUCUAAUGACUAGAAAUAUUUUAGAUUGGGACUAUCAAGAUUUUAGAUCUCACUGGUAUGAUCUCAUCAUGGUCCUAAAAUCAUUGUCUUAAUCUAUGGAGUUUAUCAUAAUCAUAAAAAAAUAUAAUACAGUAAAUGAUAAAAUAUAAUAUCUCAUAAAUAAAAAAAAUAACUAAUAUCAUACAAAUGAGUAGGAAGAAAAUAAAGAAAAGUUCUUUCACAUCCCUAUGC